CAAGUCGAACGAUGAUCCGGUGCUUGCACCGGGGAUUAGUGGCGAACGGGUGAGUAACACGUGAGUAACCUGCCCUUGACUCUGGGAUAAGCCUGGGAAACUGGGUCUAAUACUGGAUACGACCUUCCCACGCAUGUGGUGUUGGUGGAAAGCUUUUGUGGUUUUGGAUGGACUCGCGGCCUAUCAGCUUGUUGGUGGGGUAAUGGCCUACCAAGGCGACGACGGGUAGCCGGCCUGAGAGGGUGGACGGCCACACUGGGACUGAGACACGGCCCAGACUCCUACGGGAGGCAGCAGUGGGGAAUAUUGCACAAUGGGCGCAAGCCUGAUGCAGCGACGCCGCGUGAGGGAUGAAGGCCUUCGGGUUGUAAACCUCUUUCAGUAGGGAAGAAGCGAAAGUGACGGUACCUGCAGAAGAAGCGCCGGCUAACUACGUGCCAGCAGCCGCGGUAAUACGUAGGGCGCAAGCGUUAUCCGGAAUUAUUGGGCGUAAAGAGCUCGUAGGCGGUUUGUCGCGUCUGCCGUGAAAGUCCGGGGCUUAACUCCGGAUCUGCGGUGGGUACGGGCAGACUUGAGUGAUGUAGGGGAGACUGGAAUUCCUGGUGUAGCGGUGAAAUGCGCAGA
rnacentral:rRNA from 1 species